rnacentral:rRNA from 1 species
UAAGGAAUAUUGGUCAAUGGACGCAAGUCUGAACCAGCCAUGCCGCGUGAAGGAUGACAGCCCUACGGGUUGUAAACUUCUUUUGUACGGGAAAAGACCACCGGUCGUGUACCGGUGCUGAUGGUACCGUAAGAAUAAGCAUCGGCUAACUCCGUG